rnacentral:rRNA from 1 species
AACGAACGCUGGCGGCAUGCCUAACACAUGCAAGUCGAACGAGACCUUCGGGUCUAGUGGCGCACGGGUGCGUAACGCGUGGGAACCUGCCCUUAGGUUCGGAAUAACUCCCCGAAAGGGGUGCUAAUACCGGAUAAUUUCUUCGGACCAAAGAUUUAUCGCCUUUGGAUGGGCCCGCGUUGGAUUAGCUAGUUGGUAGGGUAAAAGCCUACCAAGGCGACGAUCCAUAGCUGGUCUGAGAGGAUGAUCAGCCACACUGGGACUGAGACACGGCCCAGACUCCUACGGGAGGCAGCAGUGGGGGAUAUUGGACAAGGGGCGAAAGCCUGAUCCAGCAAUGCCGCGUGAGUGAUGAAGGCCUUAGGGUUGUAAAGCUCUUUUACCCGGGAUGAUAAUGACAGUACCGGGAGAAUAAGCUCCGGCUAACUCCGUG